UCGAUACAAUAAUUAAACGUUUUUAUUAUUGAGACCAAUUAAACUCUUCGUUUUCUCGAAUUAAUACGAAUAUAUAAAUAUGCAUAUUUUUUUUCCAGAUGAUUAUCUUAUUUGUUAUUCGAUAUUACGUUCACAUUGAUCUUGAAACAUACAACGAUCAAAAUAUAGGACAACGUAAGAAAAUAAAAACCAACAACAACAUAGAAGUUUAAACAGAAUAUACAUACAUGACACGGAACAAAGGUCGACGAUCGUCGAGUAAGAACGUUUCACUCUUCAACAUGAAGCGUAAGACGAUACACGUAAGAGGCCAUACACGAAGAGGCUUCUGUCGUUUGGUUGGCUUCAAAGGGAAUGUAAGAAUCGCUUCUCCUGGAUGUCUAAGAAGAAGUCGACCGACGCCCUCGCAACGGCGUAACAUUUCGUUCUUCAACAAAUGAUUUCUCACAUUCUGCGAUAUUAUCGAGCACGCUGUUACCCACGUGGAAACAUAGGCAAAGUCGUUUCAACAUAGGAACUUGCAGCCGCAGGUGCCACGUCGCUGCUCUUUCUCCAAUAAUUUGAUCGUGGAAAACACAUGUGUAGAUUCGCAAGGCUGAUCACGCGACAGAUCUUGGCGAGUAUGUCUAUGCACUUUACCGGUGCAUCCUAUCGAUUUACGAAUAUACAGUACAAGAAAUAUGAGAAAAAUCAUGAUAUUACCUGCAACAACUGUACGUUGGCGUUCACCUCGGAAACGAUUUUAGCUCUCAUCUUGACGCAAACGAGCACUUGUACGCUAACGGAAUCCUCCGAAAGUGCACUCGAAUGAUCGGCGAGCUACAAUCGAUAGAGAUUCAAUUCGACAAUUGAAUUUGAUUUCGCGAAAAGAGUAGAUGUACUCAAAAAAAUUCUAUUUAAUGGUAAGAAUAAAAGAGAUCGAGAGACGUAUAUGCGUUUAAUGGAACAAAAACUUCCUCGACGAUAUUUCACAGUGAUACUAUUUUAACGCUAUAUGUUCUUAUUAACGUGCUUUUCAAAAGAAUAAAAACUUUAGAUUAUUUUUUUAUACGUCGUUAUGAUCGACGUUCGAUUAUAAUCAGUAUAAUCAUUUUUAUCAAUCAGUACAGAACUUCAGAUCGUAUUAAUUAUAAUUUGUCUCUGUUUAAUCGUAUGACAUGACAUCGUUACUCCCAUUCGUUCGUUUACAUCCAUUCGAAAAAAUAUUGAUAUCUGUAUUGAUAUUUUUAUAUGCAAUAAAUAUAGAAAUGAAGACGAUAUUUAUGGUUAUGUAAAAAUAUGAUAAAAAAAAUACUAGAUAACUAUAACUGCUGCUAGUAUAUUAUACUUUUAAAAAACUUGCGAAGAAUAUUUUUUUUUCUGUCUGAUUUUAAAAUUAUCAAUAGAAUUAUCUAUAUAGAGAUAUUUCAUCGCCUAAAAGAUAUACAUUAAUGAUAGAAAAUACAAUUUGUCAGGAAAAUAAACAUAUUAAAAAAAAAAAAAGAAGUAUC